rnacentral:rRNA from 1 species
UUGAUCCUGGCUCAGGACGAACGCUGGCGGCGUGCCUAAUACAUGCAAGUCGAGCGGACCGACGGGAGCUUGCUCCCUUAGGUCAGCGGCGGACGGGUGAGUAACACGUGGGUAACCUGCCUGUAAGACUGGGAUAACUCCGGGAAACCGGGGCUAAUACCGGAUGCUUGAUUGAACCGCAUGGUUCCAAUCAUAAAAGGUGGCUUUUAGCUACCACUUACAGAUGGACCCGCGGCGCAUUAGCUAGUUGGUGAGGUAACGGCUCACCAAGGCGACGAUGCGUAGCCGACCUGAGAGGGUGAUCGGCCACACUGGGACUGAGACACGGCCCAGACUCCUACGGGAGGCAGCAGUAGGGAAUCUUCCGCAAUGGACGAAAGUCUGACGGAGCAACGCCGCGUGAGUGAUGAAGGUUUUCGGAUCGUAAAACUCUGUUGUUAGGGAAGAACAAGUACCGUUCGAAUAGGGCGGCACCUUGACGGUACCUAACCAGAAAGCCACGGCUAACUACGUGCCAGCAGCCGCGGUAAUACGUAGGUGGCAAGCGUUGUCCGGAAUUAUUGGGCGUAAAGCGCGCGCAGGCGGUUUCUUAAGUCUGAUGUGAAAGCCCCCGGCUCAACCGGGGAGGGUCAUUGGAAACUGGGGAACUUGAGUGCAGAAGAGGAGAGUGGAAUUCCACGUGUAGCGGUGAAAUGCGUAGAGAUGUGGAGGAACACCAGUGGCGAAGGCGACUCUCUGGUCUGUAACUGACGCUGAGGCGCGAAAGCGUGGGGAGCGAACAGGAUUAGAUACCCUGGUAGUCCACGCCGUAAACGAUGAGUGCUAAGUGUUAGAGGGUUUCCGCCCUUUAGUGCUGCAGCAAACGCAUUAAGCACUCCGCCUGGGGAGUACGGUCGCAAGACUGAAACUCAAAGGAAUUGACGGGGGCCCGCACAAGCGGUGGAGCAUGUGGUUUAAUUCGAAGCAACGCGAAGAACCUUACCAGGUCUUGACAUCCCGCUGAUCGGUGUAGAGAUAUGCCUUUCCUUCGGGACAGCGGUGACAGGUGGUGCAUGGUUGUCGUCAGCUCGUGUCGUGAGAUGUUGGGUUAAGUCCCGCAACGAGCGCAACCCUUGAUCUUAGUUGCCAGCAUUCAGUUGGGCACUCUAAGGUGACUGCCGGUGACAAACCGGAGGAAGGUGGGGAUGACGUCAAAUCAUCAUGCCCCUUAUGACCUGGGCUACACACGUGCUACAAUGGGCAGAACAAAGGGCAGCGAAGCCGCGAGGCUAAGCCAAUCCCACAAAUCUGUUCUCAGUUCGGAUCGCAGUCUGCAACUCGACUGCGUGAAGCUGGAAUCGCUAGUAAUCGCGGAUCAGCAUGCCGCGGUGAAUCCGUUCCCGGGCCUUGUACAC